GGUCAGGAAGGCUGUCCUUCCAGGAAGGCUGCAGGGACCCUGGGAACCGCACCAGCCGGGCUCACAGGCAUGAAGAGAAUGUCGGGAGAGGAAGUGGUGGCUGUGAGUCAGCAUGAGUCAUCUCGUUCCAAUGAGAAUGAGGACUGAGGUGUGCGCCUUUUUUUUUUUUUUUUUCUGUCUUAAUCGUGUGGACAUCACUGGGAAUGGAGGGAAAUAAGUGACUGUAUGGUCACUGACUGCUUUUUUCAAAUUUCAAACUGACAUCCCAGGCAAGCCAUGCCUGGGCCAAUGCCCGUCUUCAGAGCUUCACGGCACCGUUCCCGGGGAAGGUGGCGCCACCAGCUUCUCCCUGAAUAACUGGGAGAUGAAACAGGAAGCCCUAUGACACACUUGAUCGAAAAUGACACAGACACGAAAAUCAGGACUCGGCCCCCUCCGGCGCCUCUACCUGCUGCCCGCUGAUCACAGCUGGAAGGCUGGGGAAGGCUUUUCCCGGGGGGCCUGAUUCCAGCUGCUGGGACUCUGAGGGCCUCUGCGCUUGCCGGUGGUGUGUCUGCCCUCCUUUGGGCACGGUCUAGUCUGCUUGGUUUCCCAUUCGUCUGCCCAGUCUCUAUGUGUCUCAAUCCCUUGUCCUUCAUUAAAAGUAAAACUAAAA